CCCCUACUUUGAAGUUUAGCAAAAGCAUUUAGUUAAAACCCUAAUCCGCACUUCAGAGACUCCGUAGUUUCUCCUCCAAAUUCACCUAACUAUGGCAAGGAACAACGCUGCAAAAAUACCUGAAGAAAUCAUAUUUGACAUACUAUUGUGGCUGCCUGCAAAGUUCAUAGGCCAAUUUAGGUGCGUGUCAAAGCAAUGGCGCAAAUUUCUCUCAGACCCACAAUUCAUUAAAGCUCACCUUGCUCUCCAUUCCCACAAACAUGAAGAAGAUAAGCUCAUUGUUGUUGAUUGUUCUCUUCUCACUAUCACCUUUACCCACAAUCCCAAAGAUGAUUUUGAUGCCAUAUCAAGAAAGCUUGAUUUCAGCAACUCUCAAACAAUUGGGUAAGUGUUGAUGGCUCAUGUAAUGGCUUGGCCUUGGCGAUUAAUAGGGAAGGUGUGAAAUAUUUGAUCAACCCCACUACCUUAAAGUACCAUAAAAUUCCAAAUUUUCAUUUGGCUCUUCCUGUGCCGGGUAGUUUUAGCAUGUACGGUUUAGGGUACGAUGUCAUUAGUGAUGAUUAUAAGGUGGUUACGAUUUUUUAUUAUAAUGAUGUGGAUGAGACUGUUAUAGUUGACACUUUUGUGGAUAUUUACUCUGUGAGAAAGGGUCUUUGGACGAGACUUGAGAUUUCUCGUUAUGAUCAUUCAGUAACUGACCUUGCUUCUGGGGUUUUGGUAAAUGGGGCUUUUCAUUGGUUGGCUAGUAGUAAAACUUCUGAUGAGUCAUGUGUAAUUGCUGCUUUUCAUUUAAGUGAUGAGAAAUUCUUGGAGGUGCCAGUACCUUCUAUGGAUUACAAUUACUCUUUGUUUGAACUUGUGGCUCUUCGAGGGCGUCUUUGCAUGUUCACCAAUUUAACUGUAGACACAAUCACGAUCUGUUUGAUGGAAGACUAUGGGGUUAAGGAGUCUUGGACCAUAUUUAGGCUUAUGGCACCGAGUUUACAUGAUUAUUUUUGGACACCAUUGUGUUCAAUGACUGAUGAUGAUAUUGUAAUGGAUGUCGAAGAAAAGUUGGUUCUCUACAAUAUGAAAGAGAAUGAGUUGUGGGAUCUGAUAGUUGAUGUAAGUCCUUCUUUGUAUAAAACUCGAACCUUCAUAGAAAGUCUUGUCUGUCCUUCCUUUGGCAAUGGAACCGAGGGUCAAUAUAAUGCUUGAUGCGCGAAAUGAUUGUCUGGAUAAUGCUUGUCUGUAUCCAGGUUUUAACUUAUUUGCCGAUGAGAGGGGUUGCUCAGAUGGUCAGCACUCACCACCUACAAUCCCAGGGUUGUGGGUUCGAGUCACCAAAAGAGCAAUAGCUCCAACAAAAAGGGAUCAACGGGGAAUCAAAGGGGAGGGAAAAAAUAUUUGCUAAUUAUCCACCUUUCUCCUCUUUCUCCUGUAGAUUAUUCAAAAGCCGCUGUAUUUGCUUUGUCUAGAGAAACUAUGCUUGCCGUUCUGAUAAGUAACUAUUUCUGCAGUAGUAUCAAUGAUACAUCUUUGUCCUCUUUCUCAAGCUGCUAUCAUGUUACGAAACAUAGUGUAUGAACCUGUAGCCUGAAGAAUCCCCCUGCCCUCUCCCAACUCCCCUGAAAAUUUUGGUUUAAUUAAUUAGAAUUAAUAGUCGAGGGAAAGGGCAGCAUUUCAUGGCUUUACAUCGGUUUCUUGUUAUGCCACAUACAAUUGCACCGUUCAUAUGCUUGCAUAGGAACAAAAUUUGUUUCGACAGAAGACUUGCAUUUAUUGUUUGUAUAUGGUGAAGUACAUAGAAGCAGUACUGUAGCGUCGGCAGGAGAAAAGUCCCCUUUUUAGCAAACCCUCAUAUUUGAGAUUAUUUGUUGAUGUGAAAGUAGCAAUAUUGCCCUUUGUAUUGCAGUACCAAAAGUUGUAUUUUUGCUAUGUUUUAGUUUAUUAGAAAGAACUGUCUAAUUCUCUUCUUUCUGUUGUUGGCUGGAAAAUGUUACAGAUCACUAGAACAGGGUAGAAACUUAACAUGCAAUUGGCUACCUUGAAUCUUGGAUAGUACUAGAUGACAAUGGCUAGCAUUUAAGUUAGAUUAUAUGAUGGAACGAUAGCACAGAAGUAAUAGAUUUUAUAAAAGAAAAAGAAAACAUUGAUGUUACCAGCUUAAUAUGACAAGACAUUAUGCUUCCACUUCAAAUAAUUUAUAUAUUUUUUCAUUAAUUGACACCUCAAAAUAAUACACCUAUAGAGCACUUAAAAUAUGUAACCACCUUCUAGGAAGGGUGUUAACAUCUUUCAAGCCUCCAACAGAACAUACUAGCUACAAAAUUUCGGAUCAAUGGGUUUUGUGGCUCUUUACAAAUUUGUUUUUAGUUUUAUGACCCUACAUCUUUCUUUACACAUUGAAGAUUUACUUUUACACAUAAGAGAUAUGUCUUUUAUAGGUAAGAGAUCUAAAACGGUCGUUUUCUUAAAUUAUAAAUUGUAAAGGGGCAUAAUGUACAAAUAGAACCAAAAAUUUCUGAAUCGAAAAAUUACUCCUAUAAGCUUUCUUUGAAUACUUCAAAUGAUCUAUCCUUUCUUUGAUCUCCUGUUGAAUCUGUGUUAUAACUAACUCUGUAUUAACAGUUGUCUCCUUAAACUGUUUCCAGUUUCUUGCUUUCCAAGUGUGGGAUAUGGAUGUGCCUCAGAAAGCAGCUCAAUUCAGACCUAUUGCAGGUUGUGAUGUUAUCUAUAAAUACAUUUCCAAGAUGAUUUGUAAGAGAUUGAGGAAAGCACAAUUGUUCCAAUAGUAGCAGAGAACCAGGCAGCUUUUGUAGAGGCGAGACACUGGUGCAUAAUGUUAUGAUUUGCCGUGAUCUGCUAAGACACCUCACCCGAUCUAAAUAGACCUAAGAAAGGCCUCUAACAUAGUCAGCUGGGAGUUUAUUGAGGAAGCUCUGAGAGGAUAUGGUUUCCCAGAGUCUUCUAUUCAGUUGGUAAUGACCUGCAUCGCAUCUACAAAGUUCAUAGUUAAGGUGAAUAGGUGUAUUUUGUUGCAUAGGUGUAUUAUUUGUUGCAAAAUAGAAAUAGUUUACUGCUAAUUUAUUGCAAAAGAGCUUGUUCAACACCAGAUUUAAAAGCAUGGCCCAGAUUUAUCUCCAUUUUUUGGACAAAAUACUAGUUUCAGCUGUG